rnacentral:misc_RNA from 1 species
UACGGAGGGUGCAAGCGUUGUCCGGAUUUAUUGGGUUUAAAGGGUGCGUAGGCGGGAUAUUAAGUCAGUGGUGAAAGCCCACAGCUCAACUGUGGAACUGCCGUUGAUACUGGUAUUCUUGAGUAUAGAUGAGGCAGGCGGAAUUUACGAUGUAGCGGUGGAAUGCAUAGAUAUCGUAAAGAACACCUAUAGCGAAGGCAGCUUGCUAAACUAUAACUGACGCUGAGGCACGAAAGCAUGGGUAGCGAACAGG